rnacentral:rRNA from 1 species
AGUGAACGCUGGCGGUAGGCCUAACACAUGCAAGUCGAACGGCAGCACAGGAGAGCUUGCUCUCUGGGUGGCGAGUGGCGGACGGGUGAGGAAUACAUCGGAAUCUACUUUUUCGUGGGGGAUAACGUAGGGAAACUUACGCUAAUACCGCAUACGACCUACGGGUGAAAGCAGGGGGCCUUCGGGCCUUGCGCGAUUGAAUGAGCCGAUGUCGGAUUAGCUAGUUGGCGGGGUAGAGGCCCACCAAGGCGACGAUCCGUAGCUGGUCUGGGGGGAUGAUCGGCCACACUGGAACGGAGACACGGUCCAGACUCCUACGGGAGGCAGCAGUGGGGAAUAUUGGACAAUGGGCGCAAGCCUGAUCCAGCCAUACCGCGUGGGUGAAGAAGGCCUUCGGGUUGUAAAGCCCUUUUGUUGGGAAAGAAAUCCAGCUGGCUAAUACCCGGUUGGGAUGACGGUACCCAAAGAAUAAGCACCGGCUAACUUCGUGCCAGCCGCCGCAGUAA